GAAAUCAUAAAGUUGAUUCAUAAUAAUAAGUAAUUUUUAAAUAUUAACCAGUUAUUAAUUUUUUCAAGCUAUUCGAAUUUCUUUAGACUAAGUCAACGUAAAACGAGAGCUUUGUAAUAUUCCUUUAUUUUGACGUCCAGUGCAUUACAACUGUCCCUAUACCGAUGUAAUAGUCUGCUAGGUCAAAAUAAUAAUCAUAGCUUUUCGAAUACACUGAGUACAUCAGUCGAAAGUUACCUGCAACGUUGCUAAUUGCCUGUGUCUAACGAGCAAUAAAAAUCAUGCAGGCUUCAAGUUAGAUGUUAAAAUUUUACCUAUAUUUUGUUCGCAUUAAAAAUUCACUUUUACGAUCCAGUUUGUUGUGUCGACAAAGCCUCGUUGCUUAGGACGUGGCUAACCCAGUUGCGUUUUUUAUUCCUAAGCAGGAUGACGUGUUUCAAUAUUCAACGCACCACAAAAUCCGGUGUACUAACCAGUCAUCUAGGUUUGAAUAGUUUUAUCAUGUGGGUGAUGAGAGCUACUUUGUGUUGUUGUUUCUUGUUUAUCUGUAGUGUGUCGUGUAAUGAAAUAAAAAUUAUAAAACUGACUGGAAUUUCUUUGCACCUUAGUCGCAACGCAGUAAGUUUUCCAAUACUUUUAAUAAUCAACAGUGAUUAACGAAUUUAUUUUCAUUUUCAGAGAGAGUUGGCUGGAAUGGGUUUUAAGAGUAAUUAGAAUCUAGUUAUUAUGUCUGCAGAUCUACUAAGCAAUGAUUGGGAUCUAGGUGGUAAUUCGUGGGUUGUGAUUGACCACAAAUUCCAGAAACAGGCUACAUGCUUUAAUUCAGCUUAUCCAACAUACGUAUUCUCAUUUGAGUCUAUUGGUUACUUGAAAGCAGUUAUUAAUCAUUUCUGGAGAUCGACUGCAUGGAGCAUCGUCUCCAUUUUUGAUCGUUGAAAGAAAAUCAUCUUGUUUGAAUGCUCGAGAAGUAUUGCAAUUCAUGUGGAAGCAGGAUCUAUUGGCCGUCUAUUACCUGUAUAGUGAUCAAGAUAUGACGAAUGUUUUCACGUUGAAUCCAUUUGCUACUUACGCUCCAGCACCGUGGUUUUCUGUUCACGAAUUCAGCGGUAAUGGAAAGAUAUUGACCCUUUUCGGUAUGAAAUAUACAAAAGGCAGCACUAUUUGCAGAAACAUCGCUUUCGAUAAGACUAAAAACUUAAAUGAUCAUGAGGUGAAACUAGCAGCUUUUAUUGAUAUCAAAAACAUCCCUCGGAAAAAUUUGUCUUCUGAAAUGACUGAGUAUUUGAAUAAAAUGAAACAAAAAGGAUCAAUGACUAUACGAAAUAUUAUCGCUGAUCGAAGCCAAGGACAAAACAUGGUUUUUUUCUUCUUCGGUUCAAACGACAUCCUUUAAAAACGGAUAUUUCAGACAAUUAGCCGAGAUUACGAUUGAUGUUCUACUCUGUUUAAAAACUCCCAUAGGAUCCCACCAACUACAAAUACAUGGAUAUUUUAACACGGUAUGAUGUAAUUAUUACUUUUUCAAUCCUAACAAAAAAAUCGAACUAUUUGACGACAAUCAGUCAAGUUGCUUGCAAUUAUCAAUUCCUGUUCCAGACAAUCAUCAUGUUAGUGUUGAUUGGGAUGAUAAUCAUAAUUAACAACAAAUUUGAUAUCAGUAGCGGUAGCUUGGAUGUUAUGAGUCUGACAGCAGGCAUGGGAGUGAUCACACCUCUAGACCGGUUGUCGAUACGGAUAAUCUACAUCGCUGGGUUCUCGUUCGUCUUCACCGUAAUGUCGAAUUCCAAGGUCAGGUAUCUGCUAUACUGUCGGAACCGUUGAGGCGCAACGUCGAGUCAUUAAAAGAUCUUUAUGAUAACAAACAUCAUGUUUACUACCAUGCAACAUUACUGAGAGACAUAUUCAAUGAAAAAUUGUGGGUUACUAAUGAUGACAUGCAGUACUUGCACCCAUCUAAUCAUUUUGAG